AGCAAUACAAAGGCUAAGAAGGGCAGAUCUGAUCUGAUCUGAGCCAAGAAGCAAUGGCUCCUAAGAAAAUAACCUACCAGCAUCUCAGAAACUCCCUUUGUCUUCCCAUGUUUGAGGUUCUACCCAGGAAGCAGGCACCAAAUGGAAAUAUCUGAAACCAUCCCAGCAACCCAACCACAGCUGGUUCUCCCUGGAGACCAUGAACCACACUGUCCAAACCCUCUUCACUCCUGCCAACACCGGCCGCUCCACCAACCAUGAGAUGCUCAAGGAGAAGCAUGAGGUGGCUGUGCUGGGGGCACCCCACAACCCUGUGCCUCCAGCGUUCACCAUGAUCCA
rnacentral:lncRNA from 1 species